rnacentral:rRNA from 1 species
AUUGAACGCUGGCGGCAGGCUUAACACAUGCAAGUCGAGCGAGCGGCGGACGGGUGAGUAAUGUCUGGGAAACUGCCUGAUGGAGGGGGCUAACUACUGGAAACGGUAGCUAAUACCGCAUACCAUCAGAUGUGCCCAGAUGGGAUUAGCUAGUAGGUGGGGUAAUGGCUCACCUAGGCGACGAUCCCUAGCUGGUCUGAGAGGAGGACCAGCGAAACUGGAACUGAGAGACGGCCCAGACUCCGACGGGAGGCAGCAGUGGGGGAUAUUGCACAAUGGGCGAAAGCCUGAUGCAGCGACGCCGCGUGGGGGAGGAAGGCUGUCGGGUUGUAAACCUGUUUCGCGAGCGAACGGGUAGGUGGAGAAGAAGCGCCGGCUAACUACGUGCCAGCAGCCGCGGUAAUUC